GAUGAAGAACGUAGCGAAAUGCGAUAAGUAAUGUGAAUUGCAGAAUUCAGUGAAUCAUCGAAUCUUUGAACGCACAUUGCGCCCGCCAGUAUUCUGGCGGGCAUGCCUGUUCGAGCGUCAUUACAACCCUCAGGCCCCCGGGCCUGGCGUUGGGGAUCGGCGGAGCCCCCCGUGGGCACACGCCGUCCCCCAAAUGCAGUGGCGGUCCCGCCGCAGCUUCCAUCGCGUAGUAGCUAACACCUCGCGACUGGAGAGCGGCGCGGCCACGCCGUAAAACACCCAACUCUUCUGAAGUUGACCUCGAAUCAGGUAGGAAUACCCGCUGAACUUAAGCAUAUCAAUAACGGAGGA
rnacentral:misc_RNA from 1 species